UACAGAGGGGGCAAGCGUUGUUCGGAAUUACUGGGCGUAAAGGGCGCGUAGGCGGCCCGCUAAGUCGAACGUGAAAUCCCCGAGCUCAACUCGGGAACUGCGUCCGAUACUGGCGGGCUUGAAUCCGGGAGAGGGAUGCGGAAUUCCAGGUGUAGCGGUGAAAUGCGUAGAUAUCUGGAGGAAUACCGGUGGCGAAGGCGGCAUCCUGGACCGGCAUUGACGCUGAGGCGCGAAAGCCAGGGGAGCAAACGGG
rnacentral:rRNA from 1 species